rnacentral:rRNA from 1 species
GUCCAUGCCGUAAACGAUGAUAACUAGGUGUUGGGGGGAUAUAACCUUCAGUACCGUAGCACACGCGAUAAGUUAUCCGCCUGGGGAGUACGGCCGCAAGGCUAAAACUUAAAGGAAUUGACGGGGCCCGCACAAGAGGUGGAGUAUGUGGUUUAAUUCGAAGCAACGCGAAGAACCUUACCUAGGUUUGACAUCCCGUGAAAAGUGCAGAGAUGUAUAAUAGUAGCGAUACACACGGAGACAGGUGCUGCAUGGCUGUCGU